rfam:Candida tanzawaensis NRRL Y-17324 unplaced genomic scaffold CANTAscaffold_4, whole genome shotgun sequence.
GGCAGUGUGGCCGAGCGGUUAAGGCGACUGACUCGAAUCUUUUCGGGCUAUCAGUUGGGAUUUCCCGCGCAGGUUCGAAUCCUGCUGCUGUCG